UACGAAGGGGCAUAGCGUUGCUCGGAAUCACUGGGCGUAAAGGGUGCGUAGGCGGGUCUUUAAGUCAGGGGUGAAAUCCUGGAGCUCAACUCCAGAACUGCCUUUGAUACUGAAGAUCUUGAGUUCGGAGAGGUGAGUGGAACUGCGAGUGUAGAGGUGAAAUUCGUAGAUAUUCGCAAGAACACCAGUGGCGAAGGCGGCUCACUGGCCCGAUACUGACGCUGAGGCACGAAAGCGUGGGGAGCAAACAGG
rnacentral:rRNA from 1 species